rnacentral:rRNA from 1 species
UACGGGGGGGGCAAGCGUUGUUCGGAAUUACUGGGCGUAAAGGGCUCGUAGGCGGCCAACUAAGUCAGACGUGAAAUCCCUCGGCUUAACCGGGGAACUGCAUCUGAUACUGGAUGGCUUGAGUUCGGGAGAGGGAUGCGGAAUUCCAGGUGUAGCGGUGAAAUGCGUAGAUAUCUGGAGGAACACCGGUGGCGAAGGCGGCAUCCUGGACCAAUUCUGACGCUGAGUGAGCGAAAGCCAGGGGAGCAAACGGG